rnacentral:rRNA from 1 species
AGCUUGCUUCUCUGAUGUUAGCGGCGGACGGGUGAGUAACACGUGGAUAACCUACCUAUAAGACUGGGAUAACUUCGGGAAACCGGAGCUAAUACCGGAUAAUAUUUUGAACCGCAUGGUUCAAAAGUGAAAGACGGUCUUGCUGUCACUUAUAGAUGGAUCCGCGCUGCAUUAGCUAGUUGGUAAGGUAACGGCUUACCAAGGCAACGAUGCAUAGCCGACCUGAGAGGGUGAUCGGCCACACUGGAACUGAGACACGGUCCAGACUCCUACGGGAGGCAGCAGUAGGGAAUCUUCCGCAAUGGGCGAAAGCCUGACGGAGCAACGCCGCGUGAGUGAUGAAGGUCUUCGGAUCGUAAAACUCUGUUAUUAGGGAAGAACAUAUGUGUAAGUAACUGUGCACAUCUUGACGGUACCUAAUCAGAAAGCCACGGCUAACUACGUGCCAGCAGCCGCGGUAAUACGUAGGUGGCAAGCGUUAUCCGGAAUUAUUGGGCGUAAAGCGCGCGUAGGCGGUUUUUUAAGUCUGAUGUGAAAGCCCACGGCUCAACCGUGGAGGGUCAUUGGAAACUGGAAAACUUGAGUGCAGAAGAGGAAAGUGGAAUUCCAUGUGUAGCGGUGAAAUGCGCAGAGAUAUGGAGGAACACCAGUGGCGAAGGCGACUUUCUGGUCUGUAACUGACGCUGAUGUGCGAAAGCGUGGGGAUCAAACAGGAUUAGAUACCCUGGUAGUCCACGCCGUAAACGAUGAGUGCUAAGUGUUAGGGGGUUUCCGCCCCUUAGUGCUGCAGCUAACGCAUUAAGCACUCCGCCUGGGGAGUACGACCGCCAAGGUUG